AUUGAACGCUGGCGGCAGGCCUAACACAUGCAAGUCGAGCGGACGAAGGGAGCUUGCUCCUGGAUUCAGCGGCGGACGGGUGAGUAAUGCCUAGGAAUCUGCCUGGUAGUGGGGGAUAACGUCCGGAAACGGGCGCUAAUACCGCAUACGUCAUGAGGGAGAAAGUGGGGGAUCUUCGGACCUCACGCUAUCAGAUGAGCCUAGGUCGGAUUAGCUAGUUGGUGGGGUAAAGGCCUACCAAGGCGACGAUCCGUAACUGGUCUGAGAGGAUGAUCAGUCACACUGGAACUGAGACACGGUCCAGACUCCUACGGGAGGCAGCAGUGGGGAAUAUUGGACAAUGGGCGAAAGCCUGAUCCAGCCAUGCCGCGUGUGUGAAGAAGGUCUUCGGAUUGUAAAGCACUUUAAGUUGGGAGGAAGGGCAGUAAGUUAAUACCUUGCUGUUUUGACGGUACCAACAGAAUAAGCACCGGCUAACUUCGUG
rnacentral:rRNA from 1 species